rnacentral:rRNA from 1 species
UAUGUAGGGGGCAAGCGUUAUCCGGAUUUACUGGGUGUAAAGGGAGCGUAGACGGCAGCGCAAGUCUGGAGUGAAAUGCCGGGGCCCAACCCCGGAACUGCUUUGGAAACUGUGCAGCUCGAGUGCAGGAGAGGUAAGCGGAAUUCCUAGUGUAGCGGUGAAAUGCGUAGAUAUUAGGAGGAACACCAGUGGCGAAGGCGGCUUACUGGACUGUAACUGACGUUGAGGCUCGAAAGCGUGGGGAGCAAACAGG